GCCCGGGUGGCGAAACUGGUUAGACGCGCACGUUCGAGGGGCGUGUGCCGAAAGGCAUGGAGGUUCGAAUCCUCUCCCGGGCA
rnacentral:tRNA from 1 species